AUUGAACGCUGGCGGCAGGCUUAACACAUGCAAGUCGAACGGUAACAUAAAGAAGCUUGCUUCUUUGAUGACGAGUGGCGGACGGGUGAGUAAUGCUUGGGAAUCUAGCUUAUGGAGGGGGAUAACUACGGGAAACUGUAGCUAAUACCGCGUAGUAUCGGAAGAUGAAAGUGUGGGACCUUCGGGCCACAUGCCAUAGGAUGAGCCCAAGUGGGAUUAGGUAGUUGGUGGGGUAAAGGCCCACCAAGCCGACGAUCUCUAGCUGGUCUGAGAGGAUGACCAGCCACACUGGUACUGAGACACGGGCCAAACUCCUACGGGAGGCAUUUAGUUUUGUAAUAUUGAGAAAUGGGGGCAACCCUGUCAAUCUAUGCCGCCUCCACCCCGACGGCCGUCGGGGUUUUAAUUUCUUCCGUUAGAGGCAGGACU
rnacentral:rRNA from 1 species